rnacentral:rRNA from 1 species
UACGUAGGGUGCGAGCGUUGUCCGGAAUUAUUGGGCGUAAAGAGCUCGUAGGCGGCUUGUCACGUCGGGUGUGAAAGCCCGGGGCUUAACCCCGGGUCUGCAUUCGAUACGGGCAGGCUAGAGUGUGGUAGGGGAGAUCGGAAUUCCUGGUGUAGCGGUGAAAUGCGCAGAUAUCAGGAGGAACACCGGUGGCGAAGGCGGAUCUCUGGGCCAUUACUGACGCUAAGGAGCGAAAGCGUGGGGAGCGAACAGG